rnacentral:rRNA from 1 species
GAUGAACGCUGGCGGCGUGCCUAAUACAUGCAAGUCGAGCGAACAGACGAGGAGCUUGCUCCUCUGACGUUAGGGGCGGACGGGUGAGUAACACGUGGAUAACCUACCUAUAAGACUGGGAUAACUUCGGGAAACCGGAGCUAAUACCGGAUAAUAUAUUGAACCGCAUGGUUCAAUAGUGAAAGACGGUUUUGCUGUCACUUAUAGAUGGAUCCGCGCCGCAUUAGCUAGUUGGUAAGGUAACGGCUUACCAAGGCAACGAUGCGUAGCCGACCUGAGAGGGUGAUCGGCCACACUGGAACUGAGACACGGUCCAGACUCCUACGGGAGGCAGCAGUAGGGAAUCUUCCGCAAUGGGCGAAAGCUUGACGGAGCAACGCCGCGUGAGUGAUGAAGGUCUUCGGAUCGUAAAACUCUGUUAUUAGGGAAGAACAAAUGUGUAAGUAACUAUGCACGUCUUGACGGUACCUAAUCAGAAAGCCACGGCUAACUACGUG